GGCCGUGUGGCUCAAUGGCAGAGCGUCUGACUACGAUUGCCGUCACGGUUUUAUCCGUACGGGUUAUGUGUUAUCAGAAGGUCGCAGGUUCGACCCCUGUCUCGGUCA
rnacentral:tRNA from 1 species